UACGUAGGGGGCGAGCGUUGUCCGAAGUUACUGGGCGUAAAGCGCGCGUAGGCGGGCUGUUAAGUGAGAGGUGAAAGGCUGGGGCUCAACUCCAGCAGUGCCUCUCAUACUGGCGGUCUUGAGGGCGGUAGAGAGAAGUGGAAUGGCUGGUGUAGCGGUGAAAUGCGUAGAUAUCAGUCGGAACACCGGUGGCGAAGGCGGGUCUCUGGGCCGAUACUGACGCUGAGGAGCGAAAGCGUGGGGAGCAAACAGG
rnacentral:rRNA from 1 species